GCCGAGCAUUGGAACGAUUCUGC
rnacentral:miRNA from 1 species